rnacentral:rRNA from 1 species
AGUGAACGCUGGCGGCGUGCCUAAUACAUGCAAGUCGAACGAAGUGGCGCACGGGUGAGUAAUAUAUAGUUAAUCUGCCCUACACAGAGGAACAACAGUUGGAAACGACUGCUAAUACCUCAUAGUGUAGGAUGAGACUAUAUCGUAGCAGCUAGUUGGUAAGGUAAUGGCUUACCAAGGCUAUGACGCGUAACUGGUCUGAGAGGAUGAUCAGUCACCUUGGAACUGAGCGACGGUCCAAAGUCCUGCGGGAGGCAGCAGUAAGGACUAAUACGCAAUGCGGGAAACCCUGACGAAGCAACGCCGCGGGGAGUAUGACACUUUUCUGAGCGUAAACUCCUUUUAUCAGGAAAGCGGUACCUGAUGAAUAAGCACCGGCUAACUCCGUGCCAGCAGCCGCGGUAAUUC